rnacentral:lncRNA from 10 species
AAUAGAAUGGACUCAACUGGAAUGGAAUGGAAUGGACUCGAAUUGAAGGGAGUGCCCUCGAAUGGAAUGAAUGGAAUGGAAUCAAUUCGAGUGGAAUGGAAUACGGAAUGUAACGGAAUGGACUCGGGUGGAAUGGACUGGAAUAGAAUGGACUGGAAUGGAAUGGACUCAAAUGGAAAGGAACGGAUGGAAUGCAAUGGACUCGAAUGGAAUGGAAUGGAAUGGAGGGACUAGAGUUGAAUAGAAUACAAUGGAUUCGCAUGGAACGGAAUGCCCUCGAAUGGAAUGGAAUGGAAUGGAGUCAACUCGAGUGCAAUGGAAUAUGUAAUAGAAUGGAAUGGACACUAGUGGAAUGGGCUGGAAUGGAAUGGAAUAGAAUGGAAUGGAAUGCACUCGAAUAGAAUGUAAUGGAAUGGACUCGAAUGGAAUGGAAUGGACACGAAUGGAAUGCAAUGGAAUAGACUAGAAUGGAAUGGAAUAGAAUUGACUCGACUGGAAUGGAAUGGAGUCUAAUAGAAUGGAAUGGAAUGUACUCGAAUAGAAUGGAAU